UGGCGGCCCGACGGCCGCACCGCAACGGCGGGCUCCGGCGCAGCGGCGGCGCGGGCGGACAUUUCACACCGGGACGGGACGGGACGGGACCGGAGAGGAUCAUUGUGCCGAGCGUAGCUCGGCCCUCCCGCUUCCGGGGGCCGCCGGGAGCCAUCGGCAGGGCGGCCGCGUCUCCCGUAAGCGCAGCAGGCGGCGGCGGCAGCGGCAGCAGCGGCAGCAGCGGCGGCGGGCAGGACCCGGUGAGGGCGGGCGGCCUGCGGGGAGAGGGCUGGCCGGUCUGCUGCUCCCGGCACGGGCAGGGCCCGCCUGCCUGGGGCCGGCCAGCGCCGCGCCGCAGCGGAGGGGGCAAACCUCAGCUCCCCCCCCUUCCGCCACCCGUUGCUGCUCCCGGGGCUGCCGAGUCGGGUUGUGGCGGCGGCACUUCUGGCGGCCGCCCCCGCCAGCCUUCAGCCGCGCCUCGGGCUGGGCCCUCCGGCGGGGCCUGCGCUAGGCCGGCCCUGCAGCGUCCCCCUCCCGACCGGGGCCCUUGGAGCGGCUGGCGGGGAUCACGGCCCAGCCCGGCCCCUGCCCUGGCUGGGUCCUGGUGGCUGAGCCAGGUCCAGGCCUCCCCAGCCUCGCACUGGAAGGGGUUUCUCCCACAGGAAAAGGGGCUGCUCGUUCCCCUCGCUCGCUGGGGAGGAGAGUAACACCCACUGGCCCCUCACACGUGAUUCUGCAUUUUUAAUUAGCCAGGUUUCUGAAAGAAGUGCAACGGUGCUACCAGCUCUUCCCUGCUAACUUUAAAAUCCAGCAGCCGUUUCAGCCCGGUUUGACGAAGGGAUCUCAGCCUCAACAAUGUGAAGCUUUACCAGUUUCAUUAGAAAGAGCAUCAGUGAGGUAGCAUGAGGUAACUUACUCGCCGAGCUUUCUAGCGCCAGCCGUCACGCUCUCGUGGCAAACCAGUCACAGCCUGUGUGGGCCCUCCUCCAGUUCUUCCCCAGGGUGAAGCCUGGCUCAAAGUGUGCUGACUUCAGUAAAAGCAUUCUUGCUGUCUUCACCGAGUUUGGAAUCAAAUCUGGGGCUGGGGAGAGAGGCACUGUAUGUACGGGCCUCCCUUCAGCGGGACUAUGGUCUUAGCUGGGGCAUCUCAAUGAGGGUAGGUAUAUCCUUCUCGCUCCGUUGUUCUCCUGGUCGAGGAGCUCUUGGAAGAGUCGCCUGUGUUGAAUUCAUGCCAGCAUGUUAUUAAGAACAGUUCUGAAAGGAUAAAGCAAUGUAAGAUCAAAACUUGCAGAGAGCAGCGGUCUAUGUUUGGGCCUGGCGUUGGGGGAAAUGGCAGUGGGGCUCUUUGCACAGAAGACGCUCUCAAGACAAGAACAAAGAUCUCGUUUCUUCAUCAUUUCUAACUGAGCUUGGAGUGUUGUUGGACACAGACGUUCUUAUGGAGUUUUGCCAAGAGCAGGUGCUUGCUACAACAGAGGAUGGUCUAUUCAAAACAACAAAGUCACUGUUAGGCAACUGGAAAAAAACCCAAACCAAGAACAAAACCCGAGGUAGGUGUAUUGGAUCACAAUAAUAUAAAGAAGCCUAAAGCUGUGUCUCUCACCUAACUCCCCAGUUUCUCAUAAACGUGGCGCGCUCUGCACAGUGACCAAGCAGAUGGACUCUCUCCUGACUGCAGGACUUUGCAGGCUCUUGUCUGCCUGUUUACAAGUUGCAUAGGAGGAGGGUUCUUCUCUCUGGAAUGUUAGUUUUCUGCUGUAAACUCCACGUAGUCUGUAUUUGUGUUAAGGCAGGGGAAGGAUUUUUCUGUUACAAGGUCAGUUACCCCCAGUUCUUUUUUUCCCUUUUUCUGCUUGGAGUCAGUGUCUUCCUUGUCCUCAGAAUUGUUUGAGAUCUCAGUUAUAUGGAAAUCCAUACAUUUUACUUCCGUUCAGUGCUGCCAAGGGGUUUUUUUGCAUUAUGAUCAGGGAUUUAAUGGGUGCCAUUGGCAGCAUUCAAACAGGCUUACAUAUUCUCUUCUCUCUGCACAGACGGCAAGGCAUUAUUGCUGGGGUUCUUUCUCUAUAACGCCAUAGAAGAGCACAGGUUUUCAGUGGUGGAAAUUAGUCAGUACAUUUGUUCUAUCUCUCAGGGUUCAAGGUACCUGAAUAACGGUGAGUGCCAUAUCCAAACAAACAAGUUACAGAGAUUCUAUUGCAGCUUCCAGUUAAUAGCCAGGAAGGAUCCUGAGGUAAUUUGGAAGACAGAACUGCACUCUGGCAAUUUUUUGCAUGAUACGUCUUGUGGUAUCUCCAAGAAUGCGAGUGUUGAAAAAUGCCAUUGGCAUCAGUGAAGUGGAUGCAGUGGAUUUAGUGAAUGCUGACACAGAAGAUGCAAUUGGAACCAGAAAUGAAGAAUUGAAUUGAUUUCUCCUAAUUUAGAUACCUACAGCUGAGCUAGCCUUGAAUGUACCUGUCUCCACUGACUAUAAAGAGACCCUAGGGUGACUAGCUCAUAUGUAAAGGUCUAUACUCUGGAAUGUUUGAUAUUAACUAAGAUGAAUCUUACUCAUAAAAGUCAGUCUCUUAUCUUCUUCUCACUUUUCUGCCAUGCAUCACAGUCUUCUUACAUGAGGUCAGAUUAUGGGCUACAGGAUCAGAACCUGUCUCUGUUUUAUUUGCAAAAGAUACAGGAAAAGAAAGGUUUAGGGAGAAAAGAAACAAUUGGAUAAGGCAAAACAAAUGUCUUUGCUACAAAUCCAAGUAUCACAUGUAAUGGCUACCUGGGAAAUGUGCUGUGGGAGAAAUUAAUGAGUCUGAAAUGAGAAGAACUUGGUAAGUAAGACAAUGUCUUCAAACUCAACUCUGGACACUCCUGUGAAUCCUGCAAGUCUCGGUGCCCUCAAAGGUGCGUUCAGGGCAAUCAGGACCACUUUAUCCUUUGGCUGUUCUGGGCUGCUGGGAAACCCACUGGCAGCUCCUGAGAAAGCAGUCUCUUGAUUUGGUCUGACCUACUCUGGCUCUCAGCCCAGUGUGGAGUCCCAGAGAGAGACAGAAUUGCCACAGCACUUAUGGAAGGGAUAAACAAGUAGAAUGUGGAUGGUAACAUGAGGAAAAGAGGACAGCAUGUGAGCAGGAUGAAAUGGCAUGUGUGUUACAACUGAGCUAGUAGUAGAAAGUAGUAGAAAAGAAAAAGCCUUGUGCUGAGGCUAGAGGUAGGAAAAGAUCUGGAGGAUGUUUGUGAUCCAGAGAAAGAGACUAAUCAAUACAGGGUCUUUUUGCAUGUAGGCAGAGGCCUCUGCAACGCUCUUGGAGAGAAUUUCAAUUGCUUCAGAUGAUGAGAUAGGGAAAAUCGUACUUUCAUUGAGGGAGCAUUUCACUGGAUGCAGGUGUGCCAGAAGGGAAAGCAAGAUUGAGGUGCCAGGCUGCGUCUAAACAUAGUGGUAGAGGAGGUUUUCAAAAGUUUCAGUGAAUCGAAGAAUAUUACAGAUGCAUGCUCAAAUCACACUCCUGAAUUCCGGGCAGUUCUAUGAGGCUGCGUGCUGCACAAAUCAUACAGCUGCGAUGUACAGGAACAGGUCUAAACCAGAUUGCAGGCGUUUUAUUGCUAAAAAAAGGCUGAAUAUUGGCUGUCACUGUUCUCCCGGAAUGCAAACUCUUCAGAUGUGAAACUAAGUGAAAUUUGGCUUGGAGGUUCAUUUUCUUCUUAGAGACCUGAGACUAAGAGGAGGACUAUGAAAAAUCUUUCCACUCAUGCCUGUGAUGAAUUCCUUUGACUUACGUAUUAAUAAAGAGUAAGAGAAUGCUGCCAUGAAUUAGCAAAACUCUUUUUUUUCAUACUAUGUCCUAGCAGAACAGAGGAUAUGAGUGUAGUACAGAGCAAAUGCUAAUUUUUCCAUGCUCAAAUAGAGGUAAAAAUUGUUUUUCAGAAAUGCUGAGCACCUCGAACCAUCUGAUUUUAAGUGUGUGGAAAGUUUGGGAUAAAAUGUAGUGUCUCCAAUCACAAUUAUAGCCAGGGGCAGGUUAGUUAGGUUGGGUGUGCUGGUUUCCUGCCCGAGAAAGGCAUAGCACAAAUUAUUUCUUUGAAGUCUGUAGUUUAUUAAAGAUUUAUCCAUAUUUUAUGCUCCUAACUCAAAUCACCAUGUAAAAAUGCUAUAAA